rnacentral:lncRNA from 1 species
UCCAAGCCCACCAGCACCACCGAGGCCAGUAAUCCCACCAAGACCUCCAACUCCACCAAACGGAAGCCCAUUAGAACCAAUGCCGGAGAAGCCACCAACACCACCGUAUGUUAGAAAGUUCUUUUGAUCAUCAAGGCCAGCAUCAGUGGGCGCACUUUUGGCAGUGUUAUGAACCACUUGAUCAUCAUGAUCACUAGGCGUAUUUCUUGCACUAGUGUGAACCGCUGCUACAGCAAGAACAAGCAUGACAUUGGCACACCACUUUGCCAUCUCUCUCAAAGAUUAUUAUUAUUUGAUUACUAUUAUGAAUUUUUCUUCUUAGUACAUGUGAACUAUUGUUGCGGGAGUCUCCUUAUAAAGGCUAAGAGGGCAUUGGGGAGGUAGUUGUGGGUAGUAAAUAGAAUUGAAUGCGGGCAACUUAGCUGGCACACUCGCUCAUAAGGUCUGCUGUUUGAAAUAUAUAUUUUCAAGGAUUUGUGCUUAGAGUAAAAUUGUUAUAGGAGUCAUCGUAAUGGUUUAAACGCCUGCUGUACGGCCAAGGCGGAUGUACGGUACAGCAGAAAUUUUGUUUUCAGAAGUACUGCAAGUUUUAAAAACAAUUAUGGACGUUUGAUAAAUUUUACUAUUAAACUGCUGAGAGUAAGUAAAUGAUUAAAAUAUAAAUAAUAUAGGAUAAAAUUUACUUAUACAUGUGAAAACACGUACACACAAUAUUUUUAAUUUUGUAUGAUGAUAAUUUUAACUAAAAAUAAAAUUUAUAAUAUAUAUUGAUUUUAUUUUUUAUCGUAAACAAUUGAUAAUUAAAUUUAUAAUAUAGUGAAACAAAUUUAAUAAUAAAUCGACCAACAAAUAUUGAUGAAUCAUAAUAAAAAUUUACUAAAAUAUUGGUUUUGUUUCCAAUUGAAUAAGAAUAAUUUUGGGUUUAGGUAAUAAUUUUAAAGAUAUUGAUGGAAUUGUAUUAAAGGAUAAAAUUGAUUUUUAAAAUCAGAAUCUAAAAGCUACUUCUUACUUACUUUUCAAAAUCAUCUGUAGUAGAGGCUGAUUUUGACAAAAGUGAUUUUGAUUUUUUUUUUUUACCAAACACUAAAAUUAACUUUUAGAUUUUUAAAAUUAGUUUUAAAUCUCCUAAAAGCAAUCCCAAAUAGAGCCUAACUCUAUUAUAAAUUCUUAAUUAAUAGCUCAUCUAAUAUUUGGUGUUAAAACAUGGACAAAAUAUCACAAAUUGGUAGGUAAAUUUGGACAUUUCAUUUCCACGACAUAUAGUCAAGUUUAAGGCUGUGGCCCGACAAAUUAAUGACCUUACUUUGCUUAGUGUAACGUAAUGCAUGAGCUUCGAUAACUUCAUAUGUAAACUUUAGUUGCUUUCGUUAAAGUUCUAUAACAUCAGUCAUCUCCAUUUAAAAGACAGAAGAAGAAGAAGAUAAAACACGCGAUUUAAUUAUUUACGUCGAAUAUCUCUGAAGUAGAGAAUUACAUUACAAUAACAUACCAAAAGCUCUCAAAACUAAAACUCAAAAGCAAACAGUAACUGAAACCAAAGUAAACGAACUAUCACACGAACAUGGCAUUAAAACUAAACUUUCUUAAUAACGCGCACGGGAAUAACGUGCACGGGAAACCCUCAAACAGGAAAAACCUUGAUUAAUUAAAAGCAAGUAAAGAAGCCCUAAUGUCUUCUAAGGCUCCAACUAUUUCAAGGGAAAGGAAGCACUCCAGUGCCAAUGCCAACUCCACCGGCAGAACCACCACCAACGCCGCCACCAGCACCACCUCCAACGCCGCCGCCACCGCCAACGCCGCCACCCACGCCACCAACUCCACCAAGCCCACUUGAACCACCGAGCCCACUAGCACCACCGAGGCCACCGACUCCACCAAUUCCUCCAAGCCCACCAGCACCACCGAGGCCAGUAAUCCCACCAAGACCUCCAACUCCACCAAACGGAAGCCCAUUAGAACCAAUGCCGGAGAAGCCACCAACACCACCGUAUGUUAGAAAGUUCUUUUGAUCAUCAAGGCCAGCAUCAGUGGGCGCACUUUUGGCAGUGUUAUGAACCACUUGAUCAUCAUGAUCACUAGGCGUAUUUCUUGCACUAGUGUGAACCGCUGCUACAGCAAGAACAAGCAUGACAUUGGCACACCACUUUGCCAUCUCUCUCAAAGAUUAUUAUUAUUUGAUUACUAUUAUGAAUUUUUCUUCUUAGUACAUGUGAACUAUUGUUGCGGGAGUCUCCUUAUAAAGGCUAAGAGGGCAUUGGGGAGGUAGUUGUGGGUAGUAAAUAGAAUUGAAUGCGGGCAACUUAGCUGGCACACUCGCUCAUAAGGUCUGCUGUUUGAAAUAUAUAUUUUCAAGGAUUUGUGCUUAGAGUAAAAUUGUUAUAGGAGUCAUCGUAAUGGUUUAAACGCUUGGGGUACCAGCUGAAAGAAAGUUACUGCGAUGGCCAGAGUGGCAAAUGCAGAAAUAAACAUGCAUGCCAGAUAUGGUGGUGACAAAUGAAAUGCUGAUUAGGGAUGUGGCGUUCGGGCAUGUGAUAUGCAGAGAAACAUUUGCCCAACCAAUCAAGUAAUUACAUUUGGUUGGAAGAAAAGGGCCGAUGUGAAGUGAUUGACUCAAUUCUGGGCAUUAUUAAUUUCCUGGACCAUUUCCAAUGACAUGAAAAAUUUUAAACUGUGUGUGACAAGGAACCUUACCUUUUGAGUUUUGAGAGGAAAUGCAAAUCCUAAUUAAGCUGUGAAAAAGUAAAAUUAAAUGUUCUUGCGUUGCGGAGAAUUAAGUAAAAAGUCAUCGAGCCUUUUCACUGAGCUGUAGUCCAUAACUCAUAAUACGUAGUAGCACGUGGUCAAUUCUAAACAUCAAUUUUUUUUUAUUAAAAAAAACUCUAAACAUUGAAUUAAUUUGCAAGAAAUAUUUCUUUUUUUUUUUUCAUCUUGGUAUUAGACUUCUAUAUCAAACAUUUUCUACUGUCAUUAUACUUUUUAUUCUACUAAUUAAUUUGCUUAUCUAAUCUAAAAGAAAAAAAAUUCUUAUCUCAACUAAAUUUGCGUGUUUUGGUUACUUUACUCACUCACUUUGUCAAUCUAGUUUUCUCUAACUAAAGACUUUUAGUUAACAUGUACUGACACAUUAAUUUAAUGGUAAAAUCUGUCCAAUCCUUUGGGACCAUCGUAAUUCAAGAGUUUGGAAAAAGUUAAACACUAUUUGCACACAAAAUUAUAAAUAAAAAUGAAUUAAUAAAUUUGUACAAUUUUAUAUGCAAGUAGCAUUACUCAUGGCAAAAUUUGAAGCAGUUAAUGGUUUUAUAUAGGGUAAGUUGAUUAUUAAAGAAUUAGAUUGUUUUGUUAAAUCUGAUUGGUGGUUAUUAAAUAUAAAGUUUCCAUUCAAUAUUUUAAUUUACUGUUGAGUUGCAUUAAAUAUUGGUUGGUCAAUGGAAGUCAGCUGCUAAAUUCAAUGUCGACCUACAUUCAAUCUCUACCUAACAAGUUUAAUUUGGGAUCGGAUACCUGCACAUUCUAAGUCCACCCCAAAUAUUACACUCCACCAUUCCCAACUCUUUACACCUAAAUUGAGAAAAUCGUUUGGAGAAAAUAUUGGUCAACACUAAUUGAAUCGUUGACUUAAACUAUAGGAAAUAAUAGAACAUUUACAACUGAGAAAAGUUUAGUAACACGACACAUAAAUUCUCCACCAGUUUUAUUUUUUCCUCUAUGUAUAGUAGUGUCUUUCAGCUAUAGGAUCAUUUUUCUAAUAUAUAAAUUAUCAUUAAAAUACAUGCUUAUUGAUAACGUAUUAUCAGUUUUGAUAUUCAGUUAUUGAUUCACCGAUCAUCCAAUUGAAGAAACGUGUUUUCAUUUCUUGAAUAAAACAUUAUACACUGAGAGUUAUUUAUAGAUGCAGAUGCUACAUUUUUUCAAAGAUUACAUAUGUAAAUACGGAAGGAAAUAGGUCUGUGUUGUGCGCGAGAGCUGGGCUGACGCUGGUGCUGCGUUGCGUUGCGCGCGCGGGACUGAUGUACUGCGCGAGGGUGAUUGCUGGAUUGAUUUGCGCUGUGCGCGCGAGCUGGAGCUGAGGAUCUGCGUUGCUAGGCGUUACUGCUGCUGCUUCGCGGGAUGUGUUGCGUGCACGGUUGCUGCUGAUUUCGCACAAUGGUGAUGGCUGGGGCUUGCUGCGUUGCACGCGGCUGCUUUCGCUGGUGGGACUUCGUUGCGCGCUGCUGGGCUGCGAGACACGGGAUGCUGGUGUUGCGCUCACGAGAUGGUGCGUUUUCCGGCGGGCUGGUUUGCUGCUGGUGUGCUGCAAGCGGCUGGAGAAGAAAACAAGUUCUGGAAAAUUAGGGAUUUUGUGAACAGUGAAUAGUGAACAGUGAUUUUCGAUUUUUGGUUUUUUUUUAAAUAAAUAAACAUAAUCAUUAAAGAACAUAUAUGGGAAUUAAAUAAAUAAAUAAAAUAAUUAUUUCAUUGAAUAGGGUUUCAUCUUUAACCUCAGUAUAAGAAAAUUAGCUGGACAUACUUAAAUUGGGAGCAACAAAAAAAAUAAAAUCAGCCAUGGGAAGCCGAAAUAUUGCUGCUGCAACUGGUCUCUUCCAACCUGACAUACUUGAAUUGGGAGCAACAAAAGAAAUAAAAUCAGCCAUGGGAAGCUUCCUUUUCCAAUUAUGAAACAAAGCUUCCAUAAUAACGCCAGCCAUUAAUUCCACUUUUGAAAGUCAAGUGUGGGCCCCAUUUAAAUUGCUUUCCCCUUUUGCAAUGCUAUGGACGUGCAACUCAAUUGGAGAAUUGAAAUUCUUUUUCAAUGCAAAUUGCUCUUAGCUCUUAACUCUAUCACAGCUUCAACUAAUAUUUCUCUAAAUUAUUAUUUUUUUUGCACUUUUUAUUUCCAAUCUCCAAUUAAUUUCCUAUUCAAUAAAACAAUUCAAUUAAUUAAAAAUAACAAAUAAAAUUAACUAGCAAAUAUACAAUAAAGGGUAAAAUAUGUAUAUAAAUUAUGCUCAUCACAUUGCUUAAUAUUUAUUAUUAUGGUUGGUUGAAUUAUAUACAUGGCAAUUAAUGAAUGAAAAUACAGGUGCUCCUGAAUCCCAAAACAUUUCCACGACAUAUAGUCAAGUUUAAGGCUGUGGCCCGACAAAUUAAUGACCUUACUUUGCUUAGUGUAACAUAAUGCAUGAGCUUCGAUAACUUCAUAUGUAAACUUUAGUUGCUUUAGCUAAGGUUCUAUAACAUCAGUCAUCUCCAUUUAAAAGACAGAAGAAGAAGAUAAAACACGCGAUUAAAUUAUUUACGUCGAAUAUCUCUGAAGUAGAGAAUUACAUUACGAUAACAUACCAGAAGCUCUCAAAGCUAAAAAUCAAAAGCAAACAGUAACUGAAGCCGAAGUAAACGAACUAUCACACGAACAUGACAUUAAACUAAACUUUCUUAAUAACGUGCACGGGAAACCCUCAAACAGGAAAAACCUUGAUUAAUUAAAAGCAAGUAAAGAAGCCCUAAUGUCUUCUAAGGCUCCAACUAUUUCAAUGGAAAGGAAGCACUCCGGUGCCAGUGCCAACUCCACCGGCAGAACCACCACCAACGCCGCCACCAGCACCACCGCCAACGCCGCCACCCACGCCACCAACUCCACCAAGCCCACUUGAACCACCGAGACCACCGACUCCACCAAUUCCUCCAAGCCCACCAGCACCACCGAGGCCAGUAACGCCAGCAAGACCUCCAACUCCACCAAGCGGAAGCCCAUUAGAACCAAUGCCGGAGAAGCCACUGACACCACCGUAUGUUAGAAAGUUCUUUUGAUCAUCAAGGCCAGCACCAGAGGGUGCAUUUUUGGCAGCGUUAUGAACCACUUGAUCAUCAUGAUCACUAGGCGUGUUUCUUGCACUAGUGUGAACCGCUACUACAGCAAGAACAAGCAUGACAGUGAC